UUAGUGUAACUUAAACCGUUCUUUGUAUAGGAACCUUGAUGUUGCUGAGGACAAUGAUAUAAGUAAGGAUGAUGAUGAAGAUGGUUUGGACAUAAUUGCAGGCCUCCGGUGCAAGAUUGUGGUUCGGUUCAAAGAUCACAGAAAUUUCUAUAAUGCCUUGAAGAUUCUCUGCGGUCGUUCCUUAAAGAAGCAAGGAUCACGUUUGUUGGCUGAUUAUGAAGUGACUUGGGAUAAGGACAGCUUCUUUAAAAACUUUAGAAGCCAACCUGCUGAAAGGAGUAGAUGGGUGCCAGCAAGACUGGGAAACUAUAGUUCUGAAGAUUCUAGGCGUACAUCACAGAAUUCUUGGUUUAACCCUGAUGAUGCCCGACGAAAGAGGUUCAAGGAAUGAGAAAUUGAUUGAUCUGUAAAGAUUCCAUGGUUGAGCUCAUUGACAUGGAUGAUUUUAUGGCAGAGUAAAAGGUUAGUUGUUUAUGAUUGUUGUUUGGCCCCAUUUGCUGUGCAAGUUGUGUGUAUGUUUAAAUAGGAUGAUCUUAAUUGUUCAAGUGGAUUAAAGGUUUUAACCAAUCCCUCAUCGAGCUUGCAUGGUGUACUGUGCAUAGCUCAAGCAAUGAUGGAAAGGAUUAUUCAGUUCUUUCUGUCUUCAUGAAAUUAUUUUGUGGGUUAUGGUCUUCCCAUAACAAGACUAUAUACAAUCAUAAACAGAAUGGUGAAUGCAAUAUCCAGUGUUAAUUUGGACAAGGAUGUAGAGUUACCUUAUUGAUUAUUUAAACUAUAUCUGGAUUUAAGCUGCA